AUACGGGGGGGGCAAGCGUUGUUCGGAAUUACUGGGCGUAAAGGGCUCGUAGGCGGCCAUCCAAGUCGGACGUGAAAUCCCUCGGCUUAACCGGGGAACUGCGUCCGAGACUGGUUGGCUUGAAGCCGGGAGAGGGAUGCGGAAUUCCAGGUGUAGCGGUGAAAUGCGUAGAUAUCAGGAGGAACACCGGUGGCGAAGGCGGCAUCCUGGACCGGUCUUGACGCUGAGGAGCGAAAGCUAGGGGAGCAAACGGGAUUAGAAACCCCUGUAGUCC
rnacentral:rRNA from 1 species